UCGAGAUUCUGAAGGAAGAUGGACUGGCAACUCAGAAAUUGAUAGCCGUAUCAACUGUUCAAACCAAUGAUAAAUUUACUAGCAGACACAUUCAGAAGGCCAAGGUAUAUGAUAAAUUUGCUUCUCGGACGGUUUGGAACAUGUUACAGAGUUUUAUGAUGAUUCUAUUGUAUCCCAGGCCGAGAAAACGACAGAGGUUGCGCUGAGAUGCGUCUCCUUUGACAGAGUGAAGAAGAGUAGUGCAUAAUUGUUAAUGGCAAAUGGCGACAAAUAGCGAUAAGGUACCAACUGGUUAUCUUAUUUGGGUUCAUUAAGUUGCAAUUUAUACAAAC